rnacentral:tRNA from 1 species
GGCUGCGUAGCUCAGGGGCAGAGCGAUCCACUCAUAACGGAUAGGUCGAUGGUUCGAAUCCAUCCGUAGCCA